GACGAACCGUGCGAACGUUAUUCGGAAUCACUGGGCUUAAAGCGCGUGUAGGCGGGCGGGGAACGUCGGUUGCUGAAAGCCCCCGGCUCAACCGGGGAACGGGCGCCGAAACGACCCGCCUCGAGGGACGUAGGGGGACCUGGAACUUCCGGUGGAGCGGUGAAAUGCGUUGAGAUCGGAAGGAACGCCCGUGGCGAAAGCGAGGUCCUGGACGUCUUCGACGGCUGAGACGCGAAAG
rnacentral:rRNA from 1 species